UACGUAGGGUGCAAGCGUUGUCCGGAAUUAUUGGGCGUAAAGAGCUUGUAGGCGGUUUGUCGCGUCUGCUGUGAAAUUUCGGGGCUCAACCCCGAACUUGCAGUGGGUACGGGCAGACUAGAGUGUGGUAUGGGAGACUGGAAUUCCUGGUGUAGCGGUGAAAUGCGCAGAUAUCAGGAGGAACACCGAUGGCGAAGGCAGGUCUCUGGGCCACUACUGACGCUGAGAAGCGAAAGCAUGGGGAGCGAACAGG
rnacentral:rRNA from 1 species